GACGAACGCUGGCGGCGUGCUUAAUACAUGCAAGUCGAACGGAAAGGCCCUGCUUUUGUCGGGUGCUCGAGUGGCGAACGGGUGAGUAACACGUGAGUAACCUGCUCUUGACUUUGGGGUAACUUCAGGAAACUGGGGCUAAUACCGGAUAGGAGCUCCUGCUGCAUGGUGGCGGAUGGAAAGAUUCGGCGGUUGGGGAUGGACGGGCGGCUUAUCAGCUUGUUGGUGAGGUAGUGGCUUACAAAGCCUGCGACGGCUAGGCGGCCUGAGAGGGUGAACGGGCACAAUGGGCCUGAGAUACGGUGCAGACGGCUACGGGCGGCAGCAGGGGAGAACAUUGCACAACAGGCGGACGCGUGAUGCAGAAACGCCGCGUGCGUGAAGACGGCUUUCGGGGGGAAAACCGCUUGCACCGGUGAUGAAGCGAGAGUGACGGUAACGGAUAAAGAAGCACCGGCUAAAUACGUG
rnacentral:rRNA from 1 species